rnacentral:rRNA from 1 species
GACGAACGCUGGCGGCGUGCUUAACACAUGCAAGUCGAACGGAAAGGCCCUGCUUUUGUGGGGUGCUCGAGUGGCGAACGGGUGAGUAACACGUGAGUAACCUGCCCUUGACUUUGGGAUAACUUCAGGAAACUGGGGCUAAUACCGGAUAGGAGCUCCUGCUGCAUGGUGGGGGUUGGAAAGUUUCGGCGGUUGGGGAUGGACUCGCGGCUUAUCAGCUUGUUGGUGGGGUAGUGGCUUACCAAGGCUUUGACGGGUAGCCGGCCUGAGAGGGUGACCGGCCACAUUGGGACUGAGAUACGGCCCAGACUCCUACGGGAGGCAGCAGUGGGGAAUAUUGCACAAUGGGCGGAAGCCUGAUGCAGCAACGCCGCGUGCGGGAUGACGGCCUUCGGGCUGUAAACCGCUUUCGCCUGUGACGAAGCGUGAGUGACGGUAAUGGGUAAAGAAGCACCGGCUAACUACGUGCCAGCAGCCGCGGUGAUACGUAGGGUGCGAGCGUUGUCCGGAUUUAUUGGGCGUAAAGGGCUCGUAGGUGGUUGAUCGCGUCGGAAGUGUAAUCUUGGGGCUUAACCCUGAGCGUGCUUUCGAUACGGGUUGACUUGAGGAAGGUAGGGGAGAAUGGAAUUCCUGGUGGAGCGGUGGAAUGCGCAGAUAUCAGGAGGAACACCAGUGGCGAAGGCGGUUCUCUGGGCCUUUCCUGACGCUGAGGAGCGAAAGCGUGGGGAGCGAACAGGCUUAGAUACCCUGGUAGUCCACGCUGUAAACGGUGGGUACUAGGUGUGGGGUCCAUUCCACGGGUUCCGUGCCGUAGCUAACGCUUUAAGUACCCCGCCUGGGGAGUACGGCCGCAAGGCUAAAACUCAAAGGAGUUGACGGGGCCCCGCACAAGCGGCGGAGCAUGCGGAUUAAUUCGAUGCAACGCGUAGAACCUUACCUGGGUUUGACAUGGAUCGGGAGCGCUCAGAGAUGGGUGUGCCUCUUUUGGGGUCGGUUCACAGGUGGUGCAUGGCUGUCGUCAGCUCGUGUCGUGAGAUGUUGGGUUAAGUCCCGCAACGAGCGCAACCCUUGUUCACUGUUGCCAGCACGUUAUGGUGGGGACUCAGUGGAGACCGCCGGGGUCAACUCGGAGGAAGGUGGGGAUGACGUCAAGUCAUCAUGCCCCUUAUGUCCAGGGCUUCACGCAUGCUACAAUGGCUGGUACAGAGAGUGGCGAGCCUGUGAGGGUGAGCGAAUCUCGGAAAGCCGGUCUCAGUUCGGAUUGGGGUCUGCAACUCGACCUCAUGAAGUCGGAGUCGCUAGUAAUCGCAGAUCAGCAACGCUGCGGUGAAUACGUUCCCGGGGCU